rnacentral:rRNA from 1 species
CCUACGGGCGGCAGCAGUGAGGAAUAUUGGUCAAUGGACGCAAGUCUGAACCAGCCAAGUAGCGUGCAGGAUGACUGCCCUACGGGUUGUAAACUUCUUUUGUACGAGGGUAAACGCAGAUACGUGUAUCUGUCUGAAAGUAUCGUACGAAUAAGGAUCGGCUAACUCCGUGCCAGCAGCCGCGGUAAUACGGAGGAUUCAAGCGUUAUCCGGAUUUAUUGGGUUUAAGGGGUGCGUAGGCGGUCGGAUAAGUUAGAGGUGAAAUCCCGAGGCUCAACUUCGGAAUUGCAUUUGAUACUGUUCGACUAGAGUGUAGUUGCGGAAGGCGGAAUGUAUGGUGUAGCGGUGAAAUGCUUAGAGAUCAUGCAGAACACCGAUUGCGAAGGCAGCUUACCAGGCUACAUCUGACGUUGAGGCACGAAAGCGUGGGGAGCAAACAGGAUUAGAUACCCCAGUAGUC